rnacentral:rRNA from 1 species
AUUGAACGCUGGCGGCAGGCCUAAGACAUGCAAGUCGAACGGUAACGACACUAGCUUGCUAGUGGUCGACGAGUGGCGGACGGGUGAGUAACGCGUAGGAAUCUACCUAGUAGUGGGGGAUAGCCAAGGGAAACUUUGGGUAAUACCGCAUACGAUCUAAGGAUGAAAGGGGGCCUCUCUUUGAAGCUCUCGCUAUUAGAUGAGCCUGCGUAAGAUUAGCUUGUUGGUGGGGUAAUGGCCCACCAAGGCGACGAUCUUUAGCUGGUCUGAGAGGAUGAUCAGUCACACUGGAACUGAGACACGGUCCAG